UGAUGAUGAUGAUGAUGAUGGUGAUGCGGAUGAGGAUGAUGAUGAUGAUAUGGAAUUAGUAUCAUCGUCAUCAUCAUCAUCAUCACCGUCGUCAUUUAUU
rnacentral:pre_miRNA from 1 species